GACGAACGCUGGCGGCGUGCCUAAUACAUGCAAGUCGAGCGGGGUCAUUUUGAAAGCUUGCUUUCAAAAUGACUUAGCGGCGGACGGGUGAGUAACACGUAGGCAACCUGCCCUUCAGACUGGGAUAACUACCGGAAACGGUAGCUAAUACCGGAUAAUUUCUUUUUCUCCUGAGAGAAGAAUGAAAGACGGAGCAAUCUGUCACUGAGGGAUGGGCCUGCGGCGCAUUAGCUAGUUGGUGGGGUAAAGGCCCACCAAGGCGACGAUGCGUAGCCGACCUGAGAGGGUGAACGGCCACACUGGGACUGAGACACGGCCCAG
rnacentral:rRNA from 1 species